rnacentral:lncRNA from 1 species
CCAGCAGGACCAGGAGCGGGUCGGGGGCCAUGCUGCCCCCAAGCCAGGAGGCCAUGGCGAGGGCAGCCUCCCCGCCCCCACCCAGAGGAGCGGCCCCCCACGCCCCCCGAGCGCCGCCCAGCCCCGGGGUCGCCUCCCCUAAGGCACCGAGCCCGCUCCCUCAGCGCCCCAGCGCAGGGGCCUCCCUGGCGGGAGAGGACAGCUCGGGGACGGCGAGCGGCCUCCUUGGAGAAGAGGCCCCGCGCCAUUCAGCGCGCGCGGGCGGCGCUCGGGGCCGACAAGGGCCGCAUUGUCCGGCCGGCGGGAGGCUCGCGGCCCGGCGCUGACGUAAUCUCCAAACGUCUCCGGCGGCAGCUGCUGGGCGAAGCCGGCCACCUUCUCCGGGCGCUUUCAGCCGCCCACGCCCGCUCUUCCGGCCCCGCCAGACAAUCGGGCCCUUUCUCUGCCCAAUUAGCUAUCACUUCUGGAGGCCGGCGCUGUCCAGCGGCCGCGGGCCCGCGGCGGCGGCAGCAGGCCGGGCGGGAGGGGCCGGGCGGCCCGGCGGGAGGGCCGGCGGGAGCUGUGCGGAUGAAAGGGGAGCAGAGGGGCGCGAAGAGGUGCAAGCUGGAGAUCAUGAGGCGCCCUGGUCCCCAGAUGCCAGACCCUGGGAGUCCAUCACCAGGAGAUGGCCCACCGCCAGGGACACAAGCCAGGGAGAAAACUGAGGAGCGUCCAUUCCUGAAUUUGUCCUCCAUCUACAAAGUGAGAAUAGAGAGCUGCCAGCCGGUGGCCUGGCCGGGUGUCCAGCGAGUCUGCAGAAAUGUGAGCUCCGACCAGAGCCCCCAGGGCUAAGCACAGUUCCUGCACCUAGAAGGCUCUCAGGAAGGACACCUUCAUGGGCCGACGUCAAGAAGCCCAAUUAAAGCAGGCCCAAGUUUUAUUAGACCAGAUUCUGCCCAGAUGGUCAAACCACCAGCUACAGCAGGGCUGAGAGUGAGAUUCUCCAAAGUAUUGGAGUCUUAUUGAAAAUCAUGAUUCAUUUUUGCUUCUGGUAAAAGCAAGACACACUUGUUAUUACCAAAAAAUAAAAAGCAAACAUUGCAUGCAUGUGUGAUUUAACAGUUGCGUUCAGUUCAGUUCAGUCGCUCAGUCAUGUCCG